rnacentral:rRNA from 1 species
UGGGGAAUAUUGGACAAUGGGCGAAAGCCUGAUCCAGCCAUGCCGCGUGUGUGAAGAAGGCCUUUUGGUUGUAAAGCACUCUAAGUGGGGAGGAAAAGCUUAUGGUUAAUACCCAUAAGCCCUGACGUUACCCACAGAAUAAGCACCGGCUAACUCUGUGCCAGCAGCCGCGGUAAUACAGAGGGUGCAAGCGUUAAUCGGAAUUACUGGGCGUAAAGCGCGCGUAGGUGGUUAUUUAAGUCAGAUGUGAAAGCCCCGGGCUUAACCUGGGAACUGCAUCUGAUACUGGAUAACUAGAGUAGGUGAGAGGGGAGUAGAAUUCCAGGUGUAGCGGUGAAAUGCGUAGAGAUCUGGAGGAAUACCGAUGGCGAAGGCAGCUCCCUGGCAUCAUACUGACACUGAGGUGCGAAAGCGUGGGUAGCAAACAGGAUUGGAUACCCUGGUAGUCCACGCCGUAAACGAUGUCUACCAGUCGUUGGGUCUUUUAAAGACUUAGUGACGCAGUUAACGCAAUAAGUAGACCGCCUGGGGAGUACGGCCGCAGGGUU